rnacentral:tRNA from 1 species
GGCCUUGUGGCAUAAUGGAUAAGGCGUCUGACUUCUAAUCAGAAGAUUGCAGGUUCGAGUCCUGCCUGGGUCA